rnacentral:rRNA from 1 species
GACGAACGCUGGCGGCGUGCCUAAUACAUGCAAGUAGAACGCACAGUUUAUACCGUAGCUUGCUACACCAUAAACUGUGAGUUGCGAACGGGUGAGUAACGCGUAGGUAACCUGCCUGGUAGCGGGGGAUAACUAUUGGAAACGAUAGCUAAUACCGCAUAAUAUUAAUUAUUGCAUGAUAAUUGAUUGAACGAUGCAAUUGCAUCACUACCAGAUGGACCUGCGUUGUAUUAGCUAGUAGGUGAGGUAACGGCUCACCUAGGCGACGAUACAUAGCCGACCUGGGAGGGUGAUCGGCCAAACUGGGAAUGAGAAACGGCCCAGACUCCUACGGGAGGCAGCAGUAGGGAAUCUUCGGCAAUGGACGAAAGGCUGACCGAGCAACGCCGCGUGAGUGAAGAAGGGUUUCGGAUCGUAAAGCUCUGUUGUAAGAGAAGAACGGGUGUGAGAGUGGAAAGUUCACACUGUGACGGUAUCUUACCAGAAAGGGACGGCUAACUACGUG